GUUCCUGCUCCAACAAAACCACCUCGCAUUCCUCUCGGAGUCUCCUCCACUUCCUCUCUGCGCUCUGCUCGUCGUCCCAGUGCAUGCACACCUAAUACGUGGAGAGAGAAAGAGAAAUAGAGAGAGAGGGGUGUCAUCGAAGCAUCGUAAGCGCCGCAUCUGACUGAGCCGGACGAAAUUAAAACUCACUCACCGGCUGCAAUGAGCCAUCCGGCUCUACUGCAGCAUGACGAUAUGGCUCGAUCUGUGACAGAUCUGACUCUGUCACCCAAAAGAAACUCGCUAUGAAUACAGGACUGAGAUCUUGCUCAAUCGCAGUGAUUCAAAUUCAUGGUAAAAAAAGAAAACAUCGGCAGGUAAGGUUAAAUAAAGAGGUGGAGGGCUUCUGGUCCAUGUGGAAGUAGAAUAAGAUCUGGCGGGGCUAGUAAGCACACACGCCCCCUUAAGCCCCGUUCACACCAAGGACAACAAUAACCAUAAAGAUAAUGAUAUUAGCUUCCACACCAGCAUACGUUAUCAUCUGUUUUAUUGUAAGCACGCCGCGUGCGUGUCUGCUGCUUUAAUUUUUAAGCUCGUUAUAGCAGGAAGGAUUCUAAUUGGCCGUCAAUGUUUGUAUCAUUCAAAAAAACCUUCUAAAUGCAAAUCCAAUGAUAUUGUUUCUCUGUGCCUUUAUUGUUAUAGCUGUGGACUAUUCUUUAAUAUUCAGAAUGAUUUUUGCAUGACACAAUCAAACACUGACAACCGAUCAAGAAUCCAUCCUGCUGUAACAAGCUCAAAAAUGUAAAGCAGCAGAGGUGCAUGCGAUAAGAUUAAACGCUAACAUUGUUAUCUUAUUGUUAGUGUUAUAGCGAUAUUGCUAUCUAUGUUUAUAGAUAUCGUGCUUGGUGUGAACAGGCCUUUAGACAUGGUUUGUUUUUAAACUGAAUUUUUAAGAAUUGUAGGUCCAUUCAGAUGAUUCGAUUUGAAUGCUUAAAAAGCAUUUAUAACUAAAUAUAAAAGUUUUAAUUAAACAUUGGAUUGUAAAUAUAAUAGAGUGCAUUUUGGGCAACAAUAGACCAUUUAUAAGUUUGAUUCAAAUUAAUGUUUCAUUUAAAUGUUCACAUUUACGGUCUUUUUUGGGCUACUAUAAGCGUGUUUUAACGUUCCUUUUAAAAAAAAUGUUUAAAUGUUUGAUUCAGUAUUUCAGAAAUUUGUGGUUGCUCAAACGAAAUCCAAGGUCACAGUUUCUUUUUUCAAGUAACGCACUGCUGAGAAAAUGCAUAGCCCAAAAGCAUUGCUUUGGGCAUUUAGCCUGAAAGUUGCUUUGGGUAUAAGUGUCUGCCAAACACAUGCUAAUUUGAAUUUUAGGGCAUUCUGGGUGCAUUCGGAAGUUUGAUUUAAAUGUUUGAAUGUUUUAUCAAGCGUUUUGUAGACAUUAUAACUGCAUGUGUCUGAAUGUAAAUAAUGUUAAACCCUGUAUGUGUAUUUGAGAAGACUCAAAUGUUUGAUCCAUAAUUUGAGAAUUAAACAGAACAAAAAACUG